UAUCAAGAGCCUCAUCCUCGUGGGGUUGCUCUGAGGGUCAAAUGAAAUGACAUCGGUGAAGGGUAUGGCUCACAGCAAGUGCUCAAUAAAUGUCAGCCACUGCUAUUGUCACGAAACCCGAAAACAUCAAAUCAAAACCCUGAGCGUCGCGUGGUGCUUCCCAGGAUCGCGUGAAUCCGCUCCCUCCUUUCCAGCAUCUGCCCCGACUCUGCUCCAAGACUACACUCUCCCCCCAUUGUCGUGGCGCAUCAGUCCAUAAAUAUUUAAACAACAUGUCAUCAGAUUAUUAUAACAUAUGAUCUAUAGCACUGAUGUGCUGCAGUUCUGCACAUUUGGGCUUCGUUUUCAGAAUAUCGAGACAUAAAAUAUUUAUGUAUUUAGCCAACCACGAGAUCUCACAUUCUGUCUCAAAAUGCUGGGUGGCGGCAAGAUGCGGAACUGAGACGCAACGUGUGAAGGAGAUGCCUUGUUCUCACGUCGGUUCCUGGGGCAUCUGGAUUGUUUCUGGUUCAUUCCAGGGCCUGUGAACGGUGGCUGGCUGGAUUUGCCACGGGAAGCGGGGGGGCCAGGACCAAAAGACCCCAUCAAAAUGCAGUGAGAGUUCAAACCACAAGGCACUGGAUCAUUUUCAUUCAGCAUCUCUAUGGGUCUGUGCAUAGUAGGUGCUCAGUAAACGACCACAGGGAAAUGAAUUCACCUGUAGCCCACACCACCACCCAGUGGGCUAGCACCCAGCGGGGGAUUCAGUAACAUUUGCUCUUCUGUUUCAUUCUGUCCCCAGUGCCCAGCACCAGUCCAGGCACAGAGUGGGACCCGGCAAAUGUUGCCAAUGAACAGCAAUGGAAAGAAUAACGCGUGACCAGAUAAAUCACUUAAUUAGCUAAUAAAUUAAUGAGGGAUAAUGACUCCCUGUCUGCUGGUCCGGAUUACACAGUGUGAGACCUUCCUCCUGAGAAAUAAAGGCUCUCCAGUAACCCGUAGUGGAUAGGCAAAGGGUUUUUUUCUGGGUAAUUAAAUAUCUCGAUUGCUAACAUUAGCACAUCACAGUGACCAUAUGUCCUAGAAUUUUCAGCACUGUGCAAUUUCAAAGAUGCCGCCCCGUAAGCCAUUCAAGCAUCCAUGAACUUCUUACAUACUAGCGACCAAAGAGCAUCUUCCACACUGCCUCUCUUGUCCCCAAAUGUCACUAAAAUGCUUGCACAGACCACUGGCCUUUUGAGAGUUUGGAAACUGUGCUCAUCAUGUGCCUAAGCUCUAGAUGGGUGAUAUCUGAAGGCCUGGGAUGCCACAAAAGCAUGUGCAAACCAAAGUUGUUAGCUUGAAGUACAAGCAUUUUCUGUGCAUUAGUUCCCAGAUGCUGUGCUGUCACCAUUAAGAGUGGGCAGCCCUCACCCUUGUCCCCAGCCUCUCCACAGAGAAAAAUCCAGUCUUCAUUUCCUCUUGGGUUAGCUGAGGAGGCUGGCAUUUAAAACAAACACAACAGGCCACUAAAAUUCCUGGGGGAGAUGAACGAAGGAAAUGCAUACACACUGAGUCAGGCACACCAAGUCUGCACUUGAGAUGCUAGUGUAACUAAAUCCGGCUGGACUCAGCCGGACCCGCCAAACGUAUGGGUGGGCUCCCUCUUCCCCAGCUCCCUGUAUGUCUGCCAUGUGGUCCCCGGUGGUCCCGCAAUCUGGGCACCCACGCUGGUGGCCUGCCAAGGCCACACCAGCUAGGGAAUCACUUCCUCUUUCAACUCCCAACCCCCCGUUUGCUGGGCUGGGUGAACUGUGGGCUCUGCUCAUUUGCUGCACAGCAGUGUCUGUGCCCAGAGGUGGCUUGGGAAGGUUAAACACCUCCCUUUCCCUAAGCAAACCCCAAAAGAUACGUGCUCUGAGAAAAAGAAGUAUGCCUGA